GACAGAGAGAGAACGAGACAGCGAGACAGUGGGAAAGAACGAGCGCGUCAGAAAUGGGCGUAAGCGCGUAGAAAGCACACAGUUUAACGUAAAGAAUGAAAUGAGAAAGGCGAAGCAAGCAACAACAACUGCGAGUAAUAAGUGCGAGUACGACACUAGCAAA